rnacentral:tRNA from 2 species
GCCCUUGUAGUACAAGCAAAUACACCAGUCUUGUAAACUGGAAAUGGACACCCCCUCCCAAGGGCA